rnacentral:rRNA from 1 species
UACGAAGGGUGCAAGCGUCAGUCGGAAUCACUGGGCUUAAAGAGUCCGUAGGCGGCAUGUUAGGUGAGGUGUGAAAUCCCCCGGCUCAACCGAGGAAUUGCGCUUCAAACCGGCGUGCUUGAGGAAGAUAGAGGUGGGCGGAACUGAUGGUGGAGCGGUGAAAUGCGUUGAUAUCAUCAGGAACACCGGAGGCGAAGGCGGCCCACUGGGUCUUUUCUGACGCUGAGGGACGAAAGCUAGGGGAGCGAACGGG